rnacentral:tRNA from 1 species
GCUCCUGUAGUUCAAUGGAUAGAAUAAGGCUCUUCUAAGGCCAUGACGAGGGUUCGAUUCCCCCCAGGAGCA